rnacentral:piRNA from 1 species
UUUAAUGUAAGAGAAGAAUAUAUGUAUCUG